rnacentral:rRNA from 1 species
UACGUAGGGACCAAGCGUUGUUCGGAUUUACUGGGCGUAAAGGGCGCGUAGGCGGCGCGGUAAGUCACUUGUGAAAUCUCUGAGCUUUGAACUCAGAACGGCCAAGUGAUACUGCAGUGCUAGGAGUGUGGAAGGGGCAAUCGGAAUUCUUGGUGUAGCGGUGAAAUGCGCAGAUAUCAGGAGGAACACCUAUUGCGAAGGCAGCUCGCUGGGACGUAACUGACGCUGAGACGCGAAAGCGUGGGGAGCAAACAGG